rnacentral:rRNA from 1 species
UACGGAGGGGGCGAGCGUUAUUCGGAAUUAUUGGGCGUAAAGGGCGCGUAGGCGGUGCGGUAAGUCACCUGUGAAAUCUCCUGGCUCAACUGGGAGCUUGCAGGCGAAACUGCCGUGCUGGAGUGUGGGAGAGGUGCGUGGAAUUCCCGGUGUAGCGGUGAAAUGCGUAGAUAUCGGGAGGAGCACCUGUGGCGAAAGCGGCGCACUGGACCACAACUGACGCUGAGGCGCGAAAGCUAGGGGAGCAAACAGG